rnacentral:rRNA from 1 species
AGAAUCAACGCUGGCGGCGUGCCUAACACAUGCAAGUCGAACGAGAAAGUGGUAGCAAUACCAUGAGUAAAGUGGCGCACGGGUGAGUAACACGUGACUAACCUACCCUGGAGUGGGGGAUAACUGAGGGAAACCUUAGCUAAUACCGCAUAACACCUACGGGUCAAAGGAGCAAUUCGCUUCAGGAGGGGGUCGCGGCAGAUUAGCUAGUUGGCGGGGUAAUGGCCCACCAAGGCAGUGAUCUGUAUCCGGCCUGAGAGGGCGCACGGACACACUGGAACUGAAACACGGUCCAGACUCCUACGGGAGGCAGCAGUGGGGAAUUUUGCGCAAUGGGGGAAACCCUGACGCAGCAACGCCGCGUGGAGGAUGAAGUCCCUCGGGACGUAAACUCCUUUCGAUCGGGACGAUAAUGACGGUACCGAGAGAAGAAGCCCGGCUAACUUCGCGCCAGCAGCCGC